rnacentral:rRNA from 1 species
AACGAACGCUGGCGGUAUGCCUAACACAUGCAAGUCGAACGAGACCACCGGGUCUAGUGGCGCACAGGUGCGUCACGCGUGGGAACCUGCCCUUAGACUUGGGAUAACACUCUGACAGGGGUGCUAAUACAGGGAAACGUACUCGGACAAAAGAUUUGUCGUACUUGGAAGGGCCGGCGUUGGAUUAGCUAGUUGGUAGGGUAAAAGCCUACCAAGGAGACGAUCCAUAGCUGGGCUGAGAGGAUGAGCAGCCACAAUGGGAGUGAGACACGGCCCAGACUUCUACGGGAGGGAGCAGUGGGGAAUAUUGGACAAUGGGCGAAAGUCUGGUCCAGCAAUGCCUCGUGAAGGAUUAAGGUCGUAAGGUUGUAAAGGUAGUUUACCCGGGAUGAUAACGAGAGUACCGGGAAGAUAAGGUCCGGGUAACUCCGUU